UACGAAGGGGGCUAGCGUUGCUCGGAAUCACUGGGCGUAAAGCGCACGUAGGCGGAUUUCUAAGUCAGGGGUGAAAUCCCGGAGCUCAACUCCGGAACUGCCCUUGAUACUGGGAAUCUCGAGUUCGGGAGAGGUGAGUGGAACUGCGAGUGUAGAGGUGAAAUUCGUAGAUAUUCGCAAGAACACCAGUGGCGAAGGCGGCGCACUGGCCCGAUACUGACGCGGAGGUGCGAAAGCGUGGGGAGCAAACAGG
rnacentral:rRNA from 1 species